GGUGCUGGAGAGGAGAAUACAAAGGCAGAGCAGGUGCUGGGCUUUCCCGACUCACCAUUCAGGAAGGCGUUCUUUUGUUUUGUGCCAGAAAGUUGUUGGUAAGCCACUAAUGAAACUCAGAAGUUGCAACUGGGCAUGUUCAAGUAGUAUAGCAAAAGCAUUCUUAGUGCCUCCAGACCAAGCUGAGGGUAGCAAUCUGAGAAAAAGCUCAUAGAAACAAUAUCAUCUUGGUUUCAAGAAUAUAACAGUUAUUUAGUCAACAAGCUGGGCUGAGAAAUGUCUUUCUUUCCCUUGGCCAACCUCGUGUGUUUGGAGGCAUGUCUCCAAAUGCAUGAUGUCAUAGAGCAGAGAUAUGUAAGCGGAAAUUGAUAUCCAUCAAUCACCAUAUACCACACGAUGAACAGUUCCACAGAGAAAUGAUCCCUAAAUGCCACAAAGGAGCAACCUGCAAUGCAAUCUCCUUUCUCUAAAUGAUGUGAGAAAGGCCUGUGGCACAGAAGCACAGAGGGAGGUUUUAACAGCACUUCUCUUUUUCAGCUUUUUGGUCAAAGGUCUACUCUUGCUAGCAAGGGGAAAUCUGUCACUUCAUAAAGAUUUGAAAAGUAGUAUGAAGACUAGAAUAAAAUAUAAGAAGCACAUGGAAUGGGAAUCAGGAGAACCUGGGAUUUUGUCCCAGAUUCAAAAGACAUGUUAUCUAAUCUCAAUAGAUCUCUGUUUUCUCAUCUGCAAAAUAUGGGAAUUAGAUAGAUUGUCCCCAGGUAUCUUGUCACUGGGAUUCUGUGACUUACGAUACCUUAUUAUCAGAUAUUGGCGCUCCUAUACAAUGGAGCUGCACGGGCACAUGGAGGAGAGUCAGCAAAAUUUUGUGGAACGCAUUUUCUCACUAUGCAAGAGUGUAAUCAUCCCCUUAUCUUUGUCAGCUAGUCACUGCUCAUUCAUUCAAAAACUAUGAAUCAAUCACGACACUAGAUGUUGGAGAUAAGAUGUCAUUUAAGCAAACGUUCUUCGUCAUGGAGAGCUCACUCUAGUAGAAGAGACAGACAUUCACCAGAUAACCACAUAAAAAUUCAGUCUAUAACUAUUGAUAUGAUGGUACCAUGAAGGAAAAGGCAGAGCAGUCUGAGGAGAGGCCCCAACAUGGUCUUGGUCUAAAGUGAGAGAAAGCCUGUUCCAGAAGCUUCCUUGAAGCAGUGACUGUUGAACUCAUAUCUGAAAGAUGACUCGCAGUUGACAAUGUGAUGAUGAGGAAAGGGCAAUUCAGACAUAGGGACUAGCUUGAGGCGGACGUCAGCAUGGAAUGUUGGAGCGUAAUAGCCAGAGCACAGAACGUGAGAACAAGAUUCCCGAUGCAGGAGACAUCGGCAGGUACUGCAUCCCAGAAACCAUAUUAAGAACUACCAUCAAUUAGCUGGGUAUGGUAGUUCACACCUGUUAAACCAAGCACUUUUAGAGGAUCCCUUGAGGCCAGGAGUUCAUGGCUGCCAUGAGUUAUGAUGAUGCCCCUGUACUCCACCCUGGGCGACAGAGUGAGACUGUCUCAAAAAAAAAAAAAAAA
rnacentral:lncRNA from 1 species